GUUUGAGGCCUGAAUGCCCUGAAGAUACCAGAUCUUGUGUGAUCUUGGAAGCUAAGCAAGGUAAACUCUGGUUAAUGCUUGGUUGUGGGAUUGCCAAGGAAUGCGAGGUACUGUAGGUU
rnacentral:rRNA from 11 species